UACGUAGGGUGCAGGCGUUAAUCGGAAUUACUAGGCGUAAAGCGUGCGCAGGCGGUUUGCUAAGACAGGUGUGAAAUCCCCGGGCUUAACCUGGGAACUGCGCUUGUUACUGGCAGGCUUGAGUGUGGCAGAGGGGGGUGGAAUUCCACGUGUAGCAGUGAAAUGCGUAGAGAUGUGGAGGAACACCGAUGGCGAAGGCAGCCCCCUGGGCUAACACUGACGCUCAUGCACGAAAGCGUGGGGAGCAAACAGG
rnacentral:rRNA from 1 species